rnacentral:misc_RNA from 1 species
AAGUCGUAACAAGGUUUCCGUAGGUGAACCUGCGGAAGGAUCAUUAACACUCUUUUUUCAAUGAAAGAGCUCAUUUUUUGAUAUCUUUGUUUUUUCUUUUGAGAAACUUGGAUUCAAAUAAUGGGUAUUCACCCCCCUUAUAUUGACGAACGAAGAAAAACAAUGAUUUUGUUUUCUUGUCGGGUUUUCUUAACGAAAGCUUUCUUCAAGAAAACAAAACUCAUAUUUUUCUAUCUUUUUUCUCUAUACCUUAUAUUUUUCAAAACCCCUUUUUUUACAAUAUGUCUUAGACUGAAAUGAAAAAUUAAGAUAAAUUAAAAAACAACUCUUAACAACGGAUAUCUUGGUUCUC